GGGUAUGUGACUCAGUGGUAGAGGGCUUGCCUGCCACGCAAAAGGGUGUGGGUUCAGCCCUCAAUGCUAA
rnacentral:tRNA from 1 species